rnacentral:rRNA from 1 species
AUACGAAGGGUGCAAGCGUUACUCGGAAUUACUGGGCGUAAAGCGUGCGUAGGUGGUUGUUUAAGUCUGUCGUGAAAGCCCUGGGCUCAACCUGGGAACUGCGAUGGAAACUGGGCGACUAGAGUGUGGUAGAGGGUAGCGGAAUUCCUGGUGUAGCAGUGAAAUGCGUAGAUAUCAGGAGGAACAUCCAUGGCGAAGGCAGCUACCUGGGCCAACACUGACACUGAGGCACGAAAGCGUGGGGAGCAAACAGGAUUAGAUACCCUGGUAGUCCACGCCCUAAACGAUGCGAACUGGAUGUUGGGUGCACUUUGGCACGCAGUAUCGAAGCUAACGCGUUAAGUUCGCCGCCUGGGGAGUACGGUCGCAAGACUGAAACUCAAAUGAAUUGACGGGG